AGCACCUUCAAACCGACCACAGAUCACUAACAGAUCACUACCUUCAGCCUGACAGAUCAUUCAUUAUGACCACAGAUCAUUACCUUCAUUAUGACCACAGAUCACUACCUUCAUUAUGACCACAGAUCACUAACAGAACACUACCUUCAUUAUGACCACAGAUCAUUAACAUAUCACUACAUUCAUUAUGACCAGAGAUCAGUAACAGAUCACAACUUCAUUAUGACCACAGAUCACUACAUUCAUUAUGACCACAGAUCAGUAACAGAACACUACCUUCAUUAUGACCACAGAUCACUAACAAAACACUACCUUCAUUAUGACCACAGAUCACUAACAGAUCACUACAUUCAUUAUGACCACAGAUCACUACAUUCAUUAUGACCACAGAUCAGUAAUAGAUCACAACUUCAUUAUGACCACAGAUCAGUAACAGAAC
rnacentral:lncRNA from 13 species